GUAUUUUAAGCUCCCAGCGUCUGUUUGACAUUAUAAUCCUACGGAGUACACCGUGUUUUUUUGCUGCAGCUCAGA